GACGUAGGAUGCAAGCGUUGUCCGGAUUUACUGGGCGUAAAGAGCGCGCAGGCGGUCGUUCAAGUCGCGUGUGAAAGCCCCCGGCUCAACUGGGGAGGGUCACGCGAUACUGAUCGACUCGAAGGCAGGAGAGGGAAGUGGAAUUCCCGGUGUAGUGGUGAAAUGCGUAGAUAUCGGGAGGAACACCAGUGGCGAAGGCGACUUCCUGGCCUGUUCUUGACGCUGAGGCGCGAAAGCUAGGGGAGCAAACGGG
rnacentral:rRNA from 1 species